CGGUGCAGCCAAGCUUGCUAUGGUGGAUCAGUGGCGAACGGGUGAGUAACACGUGAGCAACCUGCCCUGGACUCUGGGAUAAGCGCUGGAAACGGCGUCUAAUACUGGAUAUGAGACGUGAUCGCAUGGUCGUGUUUGGAAAGAUUUUUCGGUCUGGGAUGGGCUCGCGGCCUAUCAGCUUGUUGGUGAGGUAAUGGCUCACCAAGGCGUCGACGGGUAGCCGGCCUGAGAGGGUGACCGGCCACACUGGGACUGAGACACGGCCCAGACUCCUACGGGAGGCAGCAGUGGGGAAUAUUGCACAAUGGGCGGAAGCCUGAUGCAGCAACGCCGCGUGAGGGAUGACGGCCUUCGGGUUGUAAACCUCUUUUAGCAGGGAAGAAGCGAAAGUGACGGUACCUGCAAAAAAAGCGCCGGCUAACUACGUGCCAGCAGCCGCGGUAAUACUUAUGGCGCAAGCGUUAUCCGGAAUUAUUGGGCGUAAAGAGCUCGUAGGCGGUUUGUCGCGUCUGCUGUGAAAUCCCGAGGC
rnacentral:rRNA from 1 species